ACGACGCUGGCGGCGUGCCUAAUACAUGCAAGUCGAACGGCUUUUCUAUGGAAGCUUGCUUCCACUGAGAAGAUAGUGGCGAACGGGUGAGUAACGAACGUGGGUAACCUGCCCAUAAGAGGGGGGAGUAACAAUCCGGAAACGGGUGCUAAUACCGCAUAGUUUUCUUGAUCGCAUGAUUGAGAAAGGAAAGACGGCCUUUGUGCUGUCGCUUAUGGAUGGACCCGCGGCGUAUUAGUUAGUUGGUGAGGUAACGGCUCACCAAGACGAUGAUACGUAGCCGACCUGAGAGGGUGAUCGGCCACAUUGGGACUGAGACACGGCCCAAACUCCUACGGGAGGCAGCAGUAGGGAAUCUUCCGCAAUGGACGAAAGUCUGACGGAGCAACGCCGCGUGAGUGAAGAAAAGGUUUUCGGAUCGUAAAACUCUGUUGUCAGAGAAGAACAAGUUGGAGAGUAACUGCUCCAGCCUUGACGGUAUCUGACCAGAAAGCCACGGCUAACUACGUGCCAGCCGCUGC
rnacentral:rRNA from 1 species